CCUACGGGAGGCAGCAGUGAGGAAUAUUGGUCAAUGGACGAGAGUCUGAACCAGCCAAGUAGCGUGAAGGAUGACUGCCCUAUGGGUUGUAAACUUCUUUUAUAUGGAAAUAAAAUGUUCCACGUGUGGGAUUUUGUAUGUACCAUAUGAAUAAGGAUCGGCUAACUCCGUGCCAGCAGCCGCGGUAAUACGGAGGAUCCGAGCGUUAUCCGGAUUUAUUGGGUUUAAAGGGAGCGUAGGUGGAUUGUUAAGUCAGUUGUGAAAGUUUGCGGCUCAGCCGUAAAAUUGCAGUUGAAACUGGCAGUCUUGAGUACAGUAGAGGUGGGCGGAAUUCGUGGUGUAGCGGUGAAAUGCUUAGAUAUCACGAAGAACUCCGAUUGCGAAGGCAGUUCACUGGACUGCAACUGACACUGAGGCUCGAAAGUGUGGGUAUCAAACAGGAUUAGAUACCCGUGUAGUC
rnacentral:rRNA from 1 species